rnacentral:rRNA from 1 species
GACGAACGCUGGCGGCGUGCUUAACACAUGCAAGUCGAACGGAAAGGCCCUGCUUUUGUGGGGUGCUCGAGUGGCGAACGGGUGAGUAACACGUGAGUAACCUGCCCUUGACUUUGGGAUAACUUCAGGAAACUGGGGCUAAUACCGGAUAGGAGCUCCUGCUGCAUGGUGGGGGUUGGAAAGUUUCGGCGGUGGGGGAUGGACUCGCGGCUUAUCAGCUUGUUGGUGGGGUAGUGGCUUACCAGGGCUUUGACGGGUAGCCGGCCUGAGAGGGUGACCGGCCACAGUGGGACUGAGAUACGGCCCAGACUCCUACGGGAGGCAGCAGUGGGGAAUAUUGCACAACGGGCGGAAUCCUGAUGCAGCAACUCCGCGUGCGGGAUGACGGCCUGCUGGUUGUAAACCGCUUUCGCCUGUGACGAAGCGUGAGUGACGGUAAUGGGUAAAGAAGCACCGGCUAACUACGUG